rnacentral:rRNA from 1 species
AUUGAACGCUGGCGGCAGGCCUAACACAUGCAAGUCGAGCGGAUGAAGGGAGCUUGCUCCUGGAUUCAGCGGCGGACGGGUGAGUAAUGCCUAGGAAUCUGCCUGGUAGUGGGGGAUAACGUCCGGAAACGGGCGCUAAUACCGCAUACGUCCUGAGGGAGAAAGUGGGGGAUCUUCGGACCUCACGCUAUCAGAUGAGCCUAGGUCGGAUUAGCUAGUUGGUGGGGUAAAGGCCUACCAAGGCGACGAUCCGUAACUGGUCUGAGAGGAUGAUCAGUCACUCUGGGACUGAGACACGAUACAGAGUCCUACGGGAGGCAGCGAUGGGGAAUAGUGGACGAUGGGCGGAAGCCUGAUCCAGCCGUGCCGCGUGUGUGAAGAGAGUCUUCGGAUUGUAAAGCACUUUUAGUUGGGAGGAAGGGCAGUGAGAUAGUACCUUGCUGUUGUGACGGUACCUACAUAAUAAGCACCGGCUAACUUCGUG